AGGUGGUGAGCUUGGGGUGAUGGUGGUAAUGGUGGUUCUCCCAAACCAGCAACCUGCUCCAUCGUUAGAAUCAUAGAGUGACAGAACGGCCUGGGUUGCAAAGGAGCUCAAUGCUCAUCCAGCUCCAAGCCCUGCUGUGUGCAGGUCCCCAACCAGCCGCCCAGGCUGCCCAGAGCCACAUCCAGCCUGGCCUUGAAUGCCUGCAGGGAUGGGGCAUCCACAGCCUCCUUGGGCAACCUGUGCCAGUGCCUCACCACCCUCUGCCUCCAAAACUUCCUCCUCACAUCCAACCCAAACCUCCCCUGUCUCACUUUCAAGCCAUUCCCCUUGUCCUGUCACCACCCACCCUCACACACAGCCGUUCCCCCUCCCAUUUAUCUGCUUCUAUCAAGUACUGGAAGGCCACAGUGAGGUUUCCCUGGGUCUCGUUCAGCUUACGAUACACUUUGUCUUAUAAAGGCCUGUCAGUGAAUGUUGAAGAAUAAAAAUGGGGAGAAAUCUAGAAGGUGGUCACAAACGAGAAGAGAAUGGAAUGACGAAACAUCAAUAAAAGGAGAUGAGCAUGAUAAGGAAAGCCCCAAAAGGUUCCCGAGAAAGAUGUCACGAGGUGGAAGCAGUAGACGAGCUUAAUGAGACAAGCAGUCUGUUCUGAAGGUUAUUUUAAUGGUUUAGAUGCUCUGCUCAGCUUCAAACCAAGACGAGGUGAGCACAGAGCAGCUGCCUUUGUCCUCGAGAGCAUCCCUGUGUGUGUGGGUCCGUGCUGGGGUCCGUAGCUGGGAUGUGCUGGGAAGCUGCCCCUGUCCAUGCAGGGUGGAUCCUCAGGCUGCCUGCAGGAGCGCAGAGCAGUGCAGAACAGGGCAGGUGCUUUCUUCGUGCUUUGGUCAGUGCCUUGGCCAGGUGCAGACACGGGUUGUUGGGCAGAGGCUGCGGUGCUU